CGCGACUCAUAACUCUUAAAUCACAUUACGCUCACUCUUUCUUCCUUCUCUUCUUCUUCUUCUUCUUCUUCACUUUCGCCAUCGUCUGUGGCCUCGUUCCCGACCUUAUUGGCUAUGGCCUUAUGAUAGCUCUUUGACUGUGAAAGAAAUAUAUUUGGUGGUACAGAAUCUUCAGCACCUAGCAAUGACAGUUCUAAAGUUUCCCCAUAAAAAACAGAAAAACAAGAAUAUUAACAAGAAAUCAUAGGUCAACCAUUUGAAGGUCGGUUGGACAAUGUAGCAUGUAGUUACAUUAGCUUUUCUUCCAAAUUAUGAAAGAACGAACCUGAUAUUGAUGAACUGAAGACAAGUACUGGUCUAAGACGAAGUCACACACUAUCUUCAACAUCGUUGAUUGAAGUGUCGACUGUCAGUGGAGGUCUGAUGCUCAUGGACAUGGCUGGUUCUGAAAAUAUAAAGCAAGCUGGACAAAUUGGAUUUGAGGCAAAAAAAAUGACCGUAAAUUGACCAUGCUUCUGCAGGUAGUUGAAGAACUCGUGGACCAUGAGAUCGAUCAAGUACAUUUAUGCGUCAGUCACACAUACGUGUAUUACAUUUAUGCAUAAUAGUUUGAUUACAUUUAUGCCUCAGAUAUCGAUGUCUUAUCCUUGCUGUAUGAUAUUUGAUAAGAUGUUAUAUUCUUGUUAUGUGAUAUGGAAUAGAAUGUUUCUUACUUGUUA